GAGGAUGCUUUGGGUGAAACGCCAGUCUAAGUUCCUUGGAACAGGACGUCAUAGAGGGUGAGAAUCCCGUAUGUGACUGGAAAUGUUAACCUAUGUAAAGCUCCUUCGACGAGUCGAGUUGUUUGGGAAUGCAGCUCUAAAUGGGAGGUAAAUUUCUUCUAAAGCUAAAUAUUGGCGAGAGACCGAUAGCGCACAAGUAGAGUGAUCGAAAGAUGAAAAGCACUUUGGAAAGAGAGUUAAAAAGCACGUGAAAUUGUUGAAAGGGAAGCGCUUGCAAUCAGACUUGUUUAAACUGUUCGGCCGGUCUUCUGACCGGUUUACUCAGUUUGGACAGGCCAGCAUCAGUUUCGGCGGCCGGAUAAAGGCUCUGGGAAUGUGGCCUUCACUUCGGUGAAGGUGUUAUAGCCCAGGGUGUAAUACGGCCAGCCGGGACUGAGGUCCGCGCUUCGGCUAGGAUGCUGGCGUAAUGGUUGUAAGCGACCCGUCUUGAAACACGGACCAAGGAGUCUAACAUCUAUGCGAGUGUUCGGGUGUCAAACCCCUGCGCGUAAUGAAAGUG
rnacentral:rRNA from 1 species